rnacentral:rRNA from 1 species
GAUUAACGCUGGCGGCGUGCAUAACACAUGCAAGUCGAACGAUGAAACUUUAAUGAACCCUUCGGGGAGAAUUAAAGCGGCUUAGUGGCGAACGGGUGAGUAACGCGUGAGUAACCUGCCUUACACAAGGGGAUAGCCUUUGGAAACGAAGAAUAAUACCCUAUAAAACCAUAAAAGCACAUGCAAUUAUGGUCAAAGUGAUAGCGGUGUAAGAUGGACUUGCGUCUGAUUAGCUAGUUGGUGAGAUAAAAGCCCACCAAGGCAACGAUCAGUAGCCGGCUUGAGAGAGUGUACGGCCACAUUGGGACUGAGACACGGCCCAGACUCCUACGGGAGGCAGCAGUGGGGAAUUUUGCACAAUGGGGGAAACCCUGAUGCAGCGACGCCGCGUGAUUUAGAAGGCCUUCGGGUUGUAAAAAUCUUUUGUAUAGGAAGAAAAUGACAGUACUAUACGAAUAAGGUCCGGCUAAUUACGUG